AACGAACGCUGGCGGCAUGCCUAACACAUGCAAGUCGAACGAUACCUUCGGGUCUUGUGGCGCACGGUUUCGUAACGCGUGGGAACCUUCCCUUAGGGUCGGAAUAACUCCCCGAAAGGGGUACUAAUACCGGAUAAUGUCUUCGGACCAAAGAUUUAUAGCCUUUGGGUGGGCCCGCGUUGGAUUAGCUAGUUCGUAGGGUAAAAGCGUACCAAGGCGAGGUUACACACCUGGUCUGAGAGAAUGAUACGCCACACUGGGAAUGGGACACGGCAAAGACUCUUACGGGAGGAAGCAGUGGGGAAUAUUGGACACUGGGGGAAAGCAUGAUAAACAACUGAAGUGUGAGUGAUGAAGGCCUUAGGGUUGUAAAGCUCUUUUACCCGGGAUGAUAAUGACAGUACCGGAAGAAUAAGCUCCGGCUAACUCCGUG
rnacentral:rRNA from 1 species